GCAUGGGUGGUGCACGGUGCGGUGCACACAGCUCAGACAACUAAUAUUGUGCUCUUGAGCUGCAAGGACUGAUUCCGGGGUUCGACUCCCCGCCCAUGCA